rnacentral:rRNA from 1 species
UACGGGGGGGGGCAAGCGUUGUUCGGAAUUACUGGGCGUAAAGGGUUUGUAGGUGGCUUGUUAAGUCAGACGUGAAAUCCCUCAGCUUAACUGGGGAACUGCGUCUGAUACUGGCGAGCUUGAGUGCAGGAGAGGAACGCGGAAUUCCAGGUGUAGCGGUGAAAUGCGUAGAUAUCGUCAAGAACACCGAUAGCGAAGGCAGCUUACUGGGCUGUAACUGACGCUGAGGCACGAAAGUGUGGGGAUCAAACAGG